UACAGAGGUCCCAAGCGUUGUUCGGAUUCACUGGGCGUAAAGGGUGCGUAGGCGGUCGGGAAAGUCUGAUGUGAAAUCUCGGAGCUCAACUCCGAAACGGCAUCGGAUACUAUCCGGCUCGAGGUGUGGAGGGGGGACUGGAAUUCUCGGUGUAGCAGUGAAAUGCGUAGAUAUCGAGAGGAACACCAGUGGCGAAGGCGAGUCCCUGGACAUUACCUGACGCUGAGGCACGAAAGCUAGGGGAGCAAAC
rnacentral:rRNA from 1 species